UUUAGCAAAAGCGGUACUGCAUUAUCAGCAAGAUGCUCUCAAAAUGUGCACAUGAGAUAGACAGUCAGACUGGCUGACAGGCAGCAGCUACACACAGACGAUCCAACAGCCAAGCAGGCACACACAAGGCAGGCAGCAGACAUCAGCCACAACUGCUUAGUACUUUGAAUCUACCAGAUCUCAGAUGAUGUCCAUAAUUAGAGCGCCUUUUCAACAAGUUCUCCAUGACUGCUGGUUUUCCAGAUGUUUGGUCUUUAUAUAUUGGUGAUGGCGGCAAAGGAGAUGAUAGUAUGGUGGUGGAUGGGUAAAUUAAGAAUGUGUAAACUAAAUUUGCAACACUCUCUAUAUACGGCACCAUACUUAAGGGAAAUAAGGAAAAAGAGAAAGUAAAACUCUUAAUAGAGAAAGAAAAAGAACGAUAAUAACAAUCCUAUAAUGAGGCUCGUUAUAAUUCAGUGAAUAUAUCAUUAGAGAUAUUUCACCUUGUUUUCUAAAGAGUUUAUUUAAAAUUGGACAAAAAGUUGUUGGAGAAAAAAAAUCAUCGGACAAAAAGACAUUGGACCAAAAGACAUGGAUAAAAAGACGUUUGAUGAAGUGAUGUCAAAUGGAAAGAUGUAGCACCAUUAUCACUAUCAUCAAUAUGUUCCAGGUUGUACUGCAAUCAAAUUUCAGUGGUUGCUCCAACGUUGAAAUAUUAUAACUCUGAAAAAUUAACCUGACUUCAUUAUUAAAGUAAAUAA